CUCUUCAGUUUGCAGUCAUUAUUGUUUUCUUUUCAUCUACGUUACAAUCAUGAUCAGACUUCUUAUACAUUUAGCAGCUCUGCCGUUCUGUUUAACAGAACUCUCAAAAACCAGCGUUCAUCAGACUCCCACUGCCAUGAUUAAAGAUGCUGGAGAAGACAUCCUGAUGAACUGCAACCAUUCAAACACUGAUUUUACAAUGAUCCAGUGGUACAAACAUUCUGCUGGGGAAAAUGAUAUGGCUUUAAUUGGUUAUGUACGACUCAGUUCUAGCGUUGUUGAAGAUAAAUUCAAAGACUCUUAUAAUGUGAGCGGUCAUGGAUCAAGUCUGGCACAUCUUCAUAUUCCAAAGAGUCGAUCCGAGAACAGCGCAGUGUAUUUCUGUGCAGCCAGUAGAGCACAGUGCUACACAAACCCUCCGUCUUUAACAAAAACCUUCUCUGACGCAGCCAGUUACAGAAAUUACCACUUGAACCACAUUGUGAAUGACUGAUAGACAGCUGGUGCACCAUGAGACAGGAGGACUUAAUCAGAAAGGGAGGAGGGAAUCCUCUGUAUACCAGCAUAGUGAAGAAAACAGCACCAGAAACAAGACUGACUUUGAAAACACAACAUGAUGAUCAUUGUCUGCUGCAUAACCUUGAAUGUUAUACUGGUUUCAGGUUCCUCUCUAAAUGAACUAGUCUACCAGAAUCCAGCCCACACUUUCAACAAACCUGAAGGAGCAGCUAAAAUUGAGUGUUCACACAGUAUUCAAAACUAUGAUACAAUCCUCUGGUACAAGAAAUCAAAGAACAGACAGCUGCAGUUGCUUGGAUACAUGGUGGGAGGCAGUGGAUCUCCAGAGAAGGGAGUGAAUGUGAAGAUAGCAGGGAGUGCAAAUAAAGACCAAAACUGCACAUUAACAAUUGAAGAACUCCAGCUGAACAGCAGUGCAGUGUACUUCUGUGCUGCUAGUUUACACAGUGCUACAUAUCACUGCUCCUCAGUACAAAAACCUCCACAACACAUUUUGUCAUCUCGCUACUACAGCUCACAGCCUCUUGCACCUGUAUGCUUUCCUUUUAUGAGGUGGUGAUAUAUCUUUAAUCAGACCUUUAUACAGAGGCAGCAGUGGUAGUUGAGAUGAUGGUUAUAAUGUUAAGAGGAGGAGGAUACACUUAUGACACCACCCACCUCAUGCCUUCAUGUUGGUUUGCUGAUAGGAGGGUUUACUCAAAGAGGAGGAUGGAAAUAAUCAUAAUCAUCUGCCGACACACUGAGAAUAUCUUUUGUAUCAACAAUAAAAUUAUUACCAAACACAAAAGACAACAUGAUCAUCUUAUUCCUAAGCAUUCAUUUGAACACUAUUCUCGUUUCAGGUUCCUCUCUCAGUGACCAAGUCCAUCAGACUCCAGCUGACAUUUACAACACACCAGGACAAAUAGCCAAGAUCGAAUGUUCGCACACCAAUCCAAGCUUUGACCGAAUGUUCUGGUACAAGCAAACAGACGGACAACUACAGUUCCUGGGAUAUAUGUUAUGAAACGCUGGAAACCCAGAGAAUGGAGUGAAAGUGAAGAUAGAAGGGAGUGCAAGUAAAGGCCAAACCUGCACAUUAACAAUUGAAGAACUCCAGCUGAACAGCAGUGCAGUGUACUUCUGUGCUGCUAGAUUACACAGUGCUACAUAUCACUGCUCCUCAGUACAAAAACCUCCACAACACAUUUUGUCAUCUCGCUGCUUCAGC